rnacentral:rRNA from 1 species
AGGGUGCGAGCGUUGUCCGGAUUUAUUGGGCGUAAAGAGCUUGUAGGCGGUUUGUCGCGUCGGGAGUGAAAACUCAGUGCUUAACACUGAGCCUGCUUCCGAUACGGGCUGACUUGAGGAAGGUAGGGGAGAUUGGAAUUCCUGGUGGAGCGGUGGAAUGCGCAGAUAUCAGGAGGAACACCAGUGGCGAAGGCGGAUCUCUGGACCUUUCCUGACGCUGAGAAGCGAAAGCGUGGGGAGCAA